UCCUAUCAAGUUAGAAAGACUUAAAUAAUGGGCCUGUGUGUUUAUCUCAUAGGAAUGAGGUUCAAAGAGAUUCAUGGCCAAAACAUCUAAGUGUCUUCACAGGAAGCAGGAACAGAUAGCCAAGAGACUAGAUAAAAAGUUUCAUCAUGGCCAAGGGGAAAUUGUUGAGCACCUACAAAGAGGAGAAAAGGACCUUCAACAACCAAGAAACACAUUGGUUUUCUGUGGCCUGAAGAUCUCCAACAAUUAUUUUUCCUUAGAAGAAGCACCUACCAGAGUUCUAUUUCACUAUGCUGCUAUAACACUGAAGAAUCUCUGCUGGGCUCCAAGUGAGUUUUCUACUAUGCUGCUCUCUUUUGCAUCAAGGGACCUCACUGCUUUGGACAUGAUGUUUUGAAUAAGGUUCAUCUUGAGGGAGCCUAGUCUCAGAAAGAUUAAUUUCCCUUCUCAUAUUCUGGCUCACUAACUCCUAUCCCAGCAAUCUGGGGGGAAAUAUAUUAACAGUUUAGUUAUAAUUCAUAUCUAGGGUUUUCCCAAAGGGAAAAUGUACAUGUUAAUUACAUAUGGCAUGUCCUAUGGUUAUAUUUGUUUUUGAGAGAAGCAUUUUUUAAAUAUAAAUUAUGAAUGCUGCAUAGUAUGCAUCUGGCAAAAACAAAUUUAAAGAAAGAUUCAGUAGUCUAACAUAUAACUACUAUUAUAAUCAGCUAGGAUACUGAUAUUUAAACCUCAUCAGAAAAAAAAAAAGCAUUUUAUAAGACUGCUAAUUAGACAUUUUAUAUUUCAUUUAAGUUUUACACUGUCCAAAAAACACAUAUUAUGUAUCUGGUGAUAAAAAAGCCAGGCUUAGGUCAAUCUUCUUAUUGAGUUAUCCACUUUAAGAGUGAUGGACUAUUUGCCAAGGACUUGCCAGUUUUUAUCUAAUGGGACACAGAAUUUUGUAACCUCUUGAAUGUACAGUCACUUCAUAGCUUGAAUGUCCUUAUUGCCAUAGCUACUCAUCAAUCUAAAAUCAGGGAAAAACACAAAAGUAGUGGAUCAAAUCCAGCCUAAGGCUAGGUUAGUUAAGAUAUGUACUAUAAAAAGGUCAGGAUAGAGGAGACCGAAAACCAUCCCUUUCCUCAGUCCUAAAUGAAUCAAAACUAUCUUUAAAUGAUUUACAAGCAUAAAGCUUCCUUUAUGCUGAAGUGGGAACUUUUCCCUUUUUAAUAUUCGUUGAAUCAUCAGUGCUUCCACCUCCACACCAAGUGCAUUCUCUGUAGACCAGACUUGCACAUGAUCAGAAGGAACUACUCCCUUACAGCUGACUGGAACCAGUAAAGGGCAACUUCAAGCAUGCUCCAUGGGUAGAAACUCAUUAAACUGGAAAAAAAUACUGAAUUUGAAGUAAUUUUUCAUAUAUUUGAGCAGAAUCA